GACGAACGCUGGCGGCGUGCCUAAUACAUGCAAGUCGAACGAACUCUGGUAUUGAUUGGUGCUUGCAUCAUGAUUUACAUUUGAGUGAGUGGCGAACUGGUGAGUAACACGUGGGAAACCUGCCCAGAAGCGGGGGAUAACACCUGGAAACAGAUGCUAAUACCGCAUAACAACUUGGACCGCAUGGUCCGAGUUUGAAAGAUGGCUUCGGCUAUCACUUUUGGAUGGUCCCGCGGCGUAUUAGCUAGAUGGUGAGGUAACGGCUCACCAUGGCAAUGAUACGUAGCCGACCUGAGAGGGUAAUCGGCCACAUUGGGACUGAGACACGGCCCAAACUCCUACGGGAGGCAGCAGUAGGGAAUCUUCCACAAUGGACGAAAGUCUGAUGGAGCAACGCCGCGUGAGUGAAGAAGGGUUUCGGCUCGUAAAACUCUGUUGUUAAAGAAGAACAUAUCUGAGAGUAACUGUUCAGGUAUUGACGGUAUUUAACCAGAAAGCCACGGCUAACUACGUGCCAGCAGCCGCGGUAAUACGUAGGUGGCAAGCGUUGUCCGGAUUUAUUGGGCGUAAAGCGAGCGCAGGCGGUUUUUUAAGUCUGAUGUGAAAGCCUUCGGCUCAACCGAAGAAGUGCAUCGGAAACUGGGAAACUUGAGUGCAGAAGAGGACAGUGGAACUCCAUGUGUAGCGGUGAAAUGCGUAGAUAUAUGGAAGAACACCAGUGGCGAAGGCGGCUGUCUGGUCUGUAACUGACGCUGAGGCUCGAAAGUAUGGGUAGCAAACAGGAUUAGAUACCCUGGUAGUCCAUACCGUAAACGAUGAAUGCUAAGUGUUGGAGGGUUUCCGCCCUUCAGCGCUGCAGCUAACGCAUUAAGCAUUCCGCCUGGGGAGUACGGCCGCAAGGCUGAAACUCAAAGGAAUUGACGGGGGCCCGCACAAGCGGUGGAGCAUGUGGUUUAAUUCGAAGCUACGCGAAGAACCUUACCAGGUCUUGACAUACUAUGCAAAUCUAAGAGAUUAGACGUUCCCUUCGGGGACAUGGAUACAGGUGGUGCAUGGUUGUCGUCAGCUCGUGUCGUGAGAUGUUGGGUUAAGUCCCGCAACGAGCGCAACCCUUAUUAUCAGUUGCCAGCAUUAAGUUGGGCACUCUGGUGAGACUGCCGGUGACAAACCGGAGGAAGGUGGGGAUGACGUCAAAUCAUCAUGCCCCUUAUGACCUGGGCUACACACGUGCUACAAUGGAUGGUACAACGAGUUGCGAACUCGCGAGAGUAAGCUAAUCUCUUAAAGCCAUUCUCAGUUCGGAUUGUAGGCUGCAACUCGCCUACAUGAAGUCGGAAUCGCUAGUAAUCGCGGAUCAGCAUGCCGCGGUGAAUACGUUCCCGGGCCU
rnacentral:rRNA from 1 species